UCCUCUGUCAUAGCGGCUGCAAGGAACUCCUUCAAAGUGCACGUGUUCUCCAUCCAUUCAAUGAGUCCGAUUCUGUAAAGAUCAAAGACCGGGGGCGUCAUUUUCACACUGUACCUCGUGUUGAUGGGGAUGACUUGAGCUGCUCGAUGCGCUGGUCCUGUCGGAGGUCUUCGCCACCUUUGACCAGGAAAGGGUGGUCGCGCUCGUCGUCGCCGCGGAUGAUCAGACGCUUGGGACGGCGAAUGGACGACAUCACCUUGACCUGCACGACACAACAGAGACGCAGCCGAGCCACUCGUGAUCUGACCGGCAGCAAGAUGGAGAAGCUCCAGGUUUACCUAUCGUACGGAAUUCCACAGGAGGCAUCGUAAGCAGGGAGGUUGUUGGCCAGGACGAUUCCAAGCAACUGAAGUCCGACAGAGUUGUCUUUACUCUCUGGGUCCGUGCCGCAGAAGCGCUCAUAUAUCAGACUAAAAUCAAACAUGAAGACUACCUACCUAUGAGGCACAUAGAGACAGUCUUUCCAGCACUCCACCAGAGUACGGAUGAUCUCCAGAUUAUGGCGAAACACCGACCUCCU